rnacentral:rRNA from 1 species
CCUACGGGUGGCAGCAGUGGGGAAUAUUGCACAAUGGGCGAAAGCCUGAUGCAGCAACGCCGCGUGAAGGAAGAAGGCCUUCGGGUCGUAAACUUCUGUCCUUGGGGAAGAAGAACGGACGGUACCCAAGGAGGAAGCCACGGCUAACUACGUGCCAGCAGCCGCGGUAAUACGGAGGGGGCAAGCGUUAUCCGGAAUUAUUGGGAGUAAAGAGUACGUAGGUGGCAACCUAAGCGCAGGGUGUCAGGCACUGGCUCAACCAUUGUUCGCCCUGCGAACUGGUAUGCUUGAGUGCUGGCGAGGCAGGCGGAAUUCCUAGUGUAGCGGUGAAAUGCGUAGAUAUUAGGAGGAACACCAGUGGCGAAGGCGGCUUUCUGGACUGUAACUGACACUGAGGUACGCAAGCGUGGGGAGCAAACAGGAUUAGAUACCCCAGUAGUC